rnacentral:rRNA from 1 species
GACGAACGCUGGCGGCGUGCUUAACACAUGCAAGUCGAACGGAAAGGCCCUGCUUUUGUGGGGUGCUCGAGUGGCGAACGGGUGAGUAACACGUGAGUAACCUGCCCUUGACUUUGGUAUAACUUCAGGAAACUGGGGCUAAUACCGGAUAGGAGCUCCUGCUGCAUGGUGGGGGUUGGAAAGUUUCGGCGGUUGGGGAUGGACUCGCGGCUUAUCAGCUUGUUGGUGGGGUAGUGGCUUACCAAGGCUUUGACGGGUAGCCGGCCUGAGAGGGUGACCGGCCACAUUGGGACUGAGAUACGGCCCAGACUCCUACGGGAGGCAGCAGUGGGGAAUAUUGCACAAUGGGAGGAAGCCUGAUGCGGCAACGCCGCGUGCGGGAUGACGGCCUUCGGGUUGUAAACCGCUUUCGCCUGUGACGAAGCGUGAGUGACGGUAAUGGGUAAAGAAGCACCGGCUAACUACGUG